rnacentral:lncRNA from 1 species
CGCUGCGCCGUUGCGGCUGCGCCCGCGGCGUUCGCUGCGCCGUUGCGGCUGCGCCCGCGGCGUUCGCUGCGCCGUUGCGGCUGCGCCCGCGGCGUUCGCUGCGCCGUUGCGGCUGCGCCCGCGGCGUUCGCUGCGCCGUUGCGGCUGCGCCCGCGGCGUUCGCUGCGCCGUUGCGGCUGCGCCCGCGGCGUUCGCUACGCCGUUGCAGCUGCACUGGCUACGGCG